CCUACGGGGGGCAGCAGUAGGGAAUAUUGCUCAAUGGGGGCAACCCUGAAGCAGCAACGCCGCGUGGAGGAUGAAGGUUUUAGGAUUGUAAACUCCUUUUGUGAGAGAAGAUAAUGACGGUAUCUCACGAAUAAGCACCGGCUAACUCCGUGCCAGCAGCCGCGGUAAUACGGAGGGUGCAAGCGUUAAUCGGAAUCACUGGGCGUAAAGAGUGCGCAGGCGGGCUUGUAAGUCAUAUGUGAAAUCCCCGCGCUCAACGUGGGAACUGCCUUUGAAACUGGCAAACUGGAGUGUGUGAGAGGUUAGUGGAAUGACAGGUGUAGGAGUGAAAUCCGUAGAUAGCUGGAGGAACAUCAGUGGCGAAGGCGACUAUCUGGCACAUAACUGACGCUGAGGAGCGAAAGCGUGGGUAGCAAACAGGAUUAGAUACCCUGGUAGUC
rnacentral:rRNA from 1 species